rnacentral:rRNA from 1 species
GUUAAGCGACUAAGCGUACACGGUGGAUGCCCUGGCAGUCAGAGGCGAUGAAGGACGUGCUAAUCUGCGAAAAGCGCCGGCGAGGUGAUAUGAACCCUUGACCCGGCGAUGUCCGAAUGGGGAAACCCAGUGUGUUCCGACACACUAUCGUUAACUGAAUACAUAGGUUAACGAGGCGAACCGGGGGAACUGAAACAUCUAAGUACCCCGAGGAAAAGAAAUCAACCGAGAUUCCCCCAGUAGCGGCGAGCGAACGGGGAGCAGCCCGGAGUCUGAAUCAGCUUGUGUGUUAGUGGAACGGUCUGGAAAGUCCGACGGUACAGGGUGAUAGUCCCGUACACGAAAACACACUUGCUGUGAACUCGAAGAGUAGGGCGGGACACGUGGUAUCCUGUCUGAAUAUGGGGGGACCAUCCUCCAAGGCUAAAUACUCCUGACUGACCGAUAGUGAACCAGUACCGUGAGGGAAAGGCGAAAAGAACCCCGGCGAGGGGAGUGAAAAAGAACCUGAAACCGUGUACGUACAAGCAGUGGGAGCACCUUCGGGUGUGACUGCGUACCUUUUGUAUAAUGGGUCAGCGACUUAUAUUCUGUAGCAAGGUUAACCGUAUAGGGGAGCCGAAGGGAAACCGAGUCUUAACUGGGCGUUAAGUUGCAGGGUAUAGACCCGAAACCCGGUGAUCUAGCCAUGGGCAGGUUGAAGGUUGGGUAACACUAACUGGAGGACCGAACCGACUAAUGUUGAAAAAUUAGCGGAUGACCUGUGGCUGGGGGUGAAAGGCCAAUCAAACCGGGAGAUAGCUGGUUCUCCCCGAAAGCUAUUUAGGUAGCGCCUCGUGAACUCAUCUUCGGGGGUAGAGCACUGUUUCGGCUAGGGGGCCAUCCCGGCUUACCAACCCGAUGCAAACUACGAAUACCGAAGAAUGUUAUCACGGGAGACACACGGCGGGUGCUAACGUCCGUCGUGAAGAGGGAAACAACCCAGACCGCCAGCUAAGGUCCCAAAGUCAUGGUUAAGUGGGAAACGAUGUGGGAAGGCACAGACAGCCAGGAUGUUGGCUUAGAAGCAGCCAUCAUUUAAAGAAAGCGUAAUAGCUCACUGGUCGAGUCGGCCUGCGCGGAAGAUGUAACGGGGCUAAACCAUGCACCGAAGCUGCGGCAGCGACGCUUAUGCGUUGUUGGGUAGGGGAGCGUUCUGUAAGCCGUUGAAGGUGUGCUGUGAGGCAUGCUGGAGGUAUCAGAAGUGCGAAUGCUGACAUAAGUAACGAUAAAGCGGGUGAAAAGCCCGCUCGCCGGAAGACCAAGGGUUCCUGUCCAACGUUAAUCGGGGCAGGGUGAGUCGACCCCUAAGGCGAGGCCGAAAGGCGUAGUCGAUGGGAAACAGGUUAAUAUUCCUGUACUUGGUGUUACUGCGAAGGGGGGACGGAGAAGGCUAUGUCAGCCGGGCGACGGUUGUCCCGGUUUAAGCAUGUAGGCGGAGGUUCCAGGUAAAUCCGGUACCUUUUAACGCUGAGGUGUGAUGACGAGGCACUACGGUGCUGAAGUGAUAAAUGCCCUGCUUCCAGGAAAAGCCUCUAAGCAUCAGGUAACACGAAAUCGUACCCCAAACCGACACAGGUGGUCAGGUAGAGAAUACCAAGGCGCUUGAGAGAACUCGGGUGAAGGAACUAGGCAAAAUGGUGCCGUAACUUCGGGAGAAGGCACGCUGAUAUGUAGGUGAAGUCCCUGCGGACGGAGCUGAAAUCAGUCGAAGAUACCAGCUGGCUGCAACUGUUUAUUAAAAACACAGCACUGUGCAAACACGAAAGUGGACGUAUACGGUGUGACGCCUGCCCGGUGCCGGAAGGUUAAUUGAUGGGGUUAGCGGCAACGCGAAGCUCUUGAUCGAAGCCCCGGUAAACGGCGGCCGUAACUAUAACGGUCCUAAGGUAGCGAAAUUCCUUGUCGGGUAAGUUCCGACCUGCACGAAUGGCGUAAUGAUGGCCAGGCUGUCUCCACCCGAGACUCAGUGAAAUUGAACUCGCUGUGAAGAUGCAGUGUACCCGCGGCAAGACGGAAAGACCCCGUGAACCUUUACUAUAGCUUGACACUGAACACUGGUCCUUGAUGUGUAGGAUAGGUGGGAGGCUUUGAAGCGUGGACGCCAGUCUGCGUGGAGCCGUCCUUGAAAUACCACCCUUUAAUGGCUGGUGUUCUAACGUAGACCCGUGAUCCGGGUUGCGGACAGUGUCUGGUGGGUAGUUUGACUGGGGCGGUCUCCUCCCAAAGAGUAACGGAGGAGCACGAAGGUUGGCUAAUCCUGGUCGGACAUCAGGAGGUUAGUGCAAUGGCAUAAGCCAGCUUGACUGCGAGCGUGACGGCGCGAGCAGGUGCGAAAGCAGGUCAUAGUGAUCCGGUGGUUCUGAAUGGAAGGGCCAUCGCUCAACGGAUAAAAGGUACUCCGGGGAUAACAGGCUGAUACCGCCCAAGAGUUCAUAUCGACGGCGGUGUUUGGCACCUCGAUGUCGGCUCAUCACAUCCUGGGGCUGAAGUAGGUCCCAAGGGUAUGGCUGUUCGCCAUUUAAAGUGGUACGCGAGCUGGGUUUAGAACGUCGUGAGACAGUUCGGUCCCUAUCUGCCGUGGGCGCUGGAGAAUUGAGGGGGGCUGCUCCUAGUACGAGAGGACCGGAGUGGACGCAUCACUGGUGUUCGGGUUGUCAUGCCAAUGGCACUGCCCGGUAGCUAAAUGCGGAAGAGAUAAGUGCUGAAAGCAUCUAAGCACGAAACUUGCCCCGAGAUGAGUUCUCCCUGAGACUUUAAGUCUCCUGAAGGAACGUUGAAGACGACGACGUUGAUAGGUCGGGUGUGUAAGCGCAGCGAUGCGUUGAGCUAACCGAUACUAAUGAACCGUGAGGCUUAACCUU